rnacentral:lncRNA from 1 species
AUCCAUGCAAGAAGUUUCUAGCAUUUGCAUGGAUCAUACUUUAGCAUAUCAUCUUGGGCCAAGGUAAGAUUACACUUCAACACAAACACCAAUUGGCUGGUGUUGAUAUUCAACAUAUUUUGCUUUUCUCCCUCAUCAUGAGGGCUUGGGAUUUGAUAAACCCCCUAAUAGUUUAAAUUCAUGAUUCUUGUGGGUGCAAUUUGUUUUUUUUUAUGUCGUUUCAAGAUCUGUUACAGGACCUCGGAACCCAUUCGAGUGGCUAAGUUUAGGAGGCUUUCAGUUUACAAGGUGGAUCGAGUAGAGAGAGAGAGCGCAUUCGAGUGGCAGAAACCGAAGCCUGCUAGUAUUUUCUGCAGCAAACAAAUUUUCAUGCAAAUGAUGAUGUUAUAUAUCGAUCCAUGAAAUUCAUUUUCGAAAACAAAUCAAAAGUUCUACCGACUAUAAUAUGCAGUUAAUCUGGAUUAAUUAAUGCUUCAUUGAGACUAGUUGUUCAAGUUCCUUAAUUAUUUUGACUUAGCCGCAGGUAAAAACAUUGACUUCAAAAAAAAAAAAGCAUUGACGAAGGUUCUUAAUUUUCUUCUCUCCCAAGUCGUUUGUAAUGUACUUCUUGUUUUACCAAGCCAAAUUAUGUAGACCUCACAAAACGCGAGGAACGGAAGAGUUGGGAAUCGGAUUAGACAAGACCGAGUCGGGAAUCGGAUUGAAAAUAACACUAAAUAACAAACCCUCAUGUCCGAAAUGCAGAUUAAACUGCCAUUUGAUUAAGACUUCUAGCCUUUGAUUGGCAGAAAAUAUUCACUUCUACUCCUGUGUGGAUUCACACUUAACAAACACCGUACAGCCAGCAAGAACGUAUAGGACCACACCAUCAAUAUAUAUAUAUAUGUAUAUUAUUGGAUUCGGCUCGUGUUUGCUUACUAUAGUCCAAGUUGUGAACAUACAGUGGCGAAGCUACAUAGGGGCGAGGAGUGACGGUUGCCACUCCGCUCGUCGGAAAACAUGCCUAAGACCGAGUCCUAAACCUCUCUGGUUUGGUCGGAAACUGGAAAACACAAUGGUGUUUCUGUUUGUUCAUACUGCUGCGCGGCUCCCUAUGCGCAUGGCUU